CCUACGGGUGGCAGCAGUGGGGAAUAUUGGACAAUGGGGGCAACCCUGAUCCAGCCAUGCCGCGUGUGUGAAGAAGGCCCUCGGGUUGUAAAGCACUUUCAGUGAGGAAGAACGCCUGGUGGUUAAUACCCAUCAGGAAAGACAUCACUCACAGAAGAAGCACCGGCUAACUCCGUGCCAGCAGCCGCGGUAAUACGGAGGGUGCGAGCGUUAAUCGGAAUUACUGGGCGUAAAGCGCGCGUAGGUGGCUUGAUAAGCCGGUUGUGAAAGCCCCGGGCUCAACCUGGGAACGGCAUCCGGAACUGUCAAGCUAGAGUGCAGGAGAGGAAGGUAGAAUUCCCGGUGUAGCGGUGAAAUGCGUAGAGAUCGGGAGGAAUACCAGUGGCGAAGGCGGCCUUCUGGACUGACACUGACACUGAGGUGCGAAAGCGUGGGUAGCAAACAGGAUUAGAUACCCGAGUGGUC
rnacentral:rRNA from 1 species